GACGAACGCUGGCGGCGUGCCUAAUACAUGCAAGUCGAGCGAAUCAAUAGGAGCUUGCUCCUGUUGGUUAGCGGCGGACGGGUGAGUAACACGUGGGCAACCUGCCUGUAAGACUGGGAUAACACCGGGAAACCGGUGCUAAUACCGGAUAAUCCUUUUCCUCCCAUGAGGAAAAGCUGAAAGUCGGUUUCGGCUGACACUUACAGAUGGGCCCGCGGCGCAUUAGCUAGUUGGUGAGGUAACGGCUCACCAAGGCGACGAUGCGUAGCCGACCUGAGAGGGUGUUCGGCAACACUGGGACUGAGACACGGCCCAGACUCCUACGGGAGGCAGCAGUAGGGAAUCUUCCACAAUGGACGAAAGUCUGAUGGAGUAACGCCGCGUGAGCGAUGAAGGCCUUCGGGUCGUAAAGCUCUGUUGUUAGGGAAGAACAAGUACCGGAGUAACUGCCGGUGCCUUGACGGUACCUAACCAGAAAGCCACGGCUAACUACGUGCCAGCCGCCGCAGUAACAC
rnacentral:rRNA from 1 species